rnacentral:rRNA from 1 species
UGCGUAGGCGGGUCUUUAAGUCAGGGGUGAAAUCCUGGAGCUCAACUCCAGAACUGCCUUUGAUACUGAGGAUCUUGAGUUCGGGAGAGGUGAGUGGAACUGCGAGUGUAGAGGUGAAAUUCGUAGAUAUUCGCAAGAACACCAGUGGCGAAGGCGGCUCACUGGCCCGACACUGACGCUGAGGCACGAAAGCGUGGGGGAGCAAACA